GCAAGAGAUUUGGAAGGAAUAUCAUAUCCUCAUGAUGAUGCCUUGGUCGUCUCUGCGGUUAUAGCUAACUUCGAAGUAAAGAGGAUACUGGUUGAUAGUGGGAGUGCAGCAAAUAUACUAUCGCAAGAGGCUUUCGCCAAAAUGGGGAUCUCUCCCAAACAGCUCAAAGCAGUAAAACUCCUCUACAAGGAUUUGGUGGUGGAGUCAUUAUCCCUGAGGGCAUCGUCGAGCUCCCACUUACAUUAGGAUCUGGUAAUACACAAGUGACAGAGAUCACACCAUUCCAAGUGGUUAAUAUACCAAUGGCCUACAACAUGAUCCUGGGAAGACCCCUAUUGAACAAGAUCCAGGCUAUUGUAUCAACUUUCCACCUUGCCAUGAAGUUCCCCACAGGUCAUGGCAUUGGAGUAGUUCGAGGAGACCAAACAGCUGCCAGACAGUGCUAUGUUACUAGCAUUCGAGAAAUGAAUA
rnacentral:lncRNA from 1 species